rnacentral:rRNA from 1 species
UACGAAGGGUGCAAGCGUUGCUCGGAAUUAUUGGGCGUAAAGCGUGGGUAGGUGGUCUCGUUAGUCUAGGGUGAAAGACCUGAGCUCAACUCAGGAAGUGCCCUGGAAACGGCGAGACUAGAGUCCUAGAUAGGUUAGCGGAAUUCCCGGUGUAGCGGUGAAAUGCGUAGAGAUCGGGAGGAACACCAGAGGUGUAGACGGCUAACUGGAUAGGUACUGACACUCAACCACGAAAGCGUGGGGAGCAAACAGG